rnacentral:tRNA from 23 species
GGUGAGAUGGCCGAGUUGGUUAUGGCGCCAGGUUAAGGUCCUGGUGGAGCAAUCCUCCUGGGUUCGAGUCCCAGUCUCAUCA